UACAGAGGUCUCAAGCGUUGUUCGGAUUCAUUGGGCGUAAAGGGUUCGUAGGCGGCUCGGUAAGUCGGGUGUGAAAUCUCGGAGCUUAACUCCGAAACUGCAUUCGAUACUGCCGUGCUUGAGGACUGGAGAGGAGACUGGAAUUUACGGUGUAGCGGUGAAAUGCGUAGAUAUCGUAAGGAAGACCAGUGGCGAAGGCGGGUCUCUGGACAGUUCCUGACGCUGAGGCACGAAGGCCAGGGGAGCAAACGGG
rnacentral:rRNA from 1 species